GAUGAAGAACGUAGCGAAAUGCGAUACUUGGUGUGAAUUGCAGAAUUCAGUGAAUCAUCGAAUCUUUGAACGCACAUUGCGCCCGCCAGUAUUCUGGCGGGCAUGCCUGUUCGAGCGUCAUUUCAACCAUCAAGCCCCCGGCUUGUGUUGGGGACCUGCGGCUGCCGCAGGCCCUGAAAACCAGUGGCGGGCUCGCUAGUCACUCCGAGCGUAGUAAUACAUCUCGCUCAGGGCGUGCUGCGGGUUCCGGCCGUUAAAAAGCCUUAUUUACCCAAGGUUGACCUCGGAUCAGGUAGGAAGACCCGCUGAACUUAAGCAUAUCAAUAAGCGGAGGA
rnacentral:misc_RNA from 1 species